rnacentral:rRNA from 1 species
AUAGUCAUCCACAUGAGAACCUUUUCUCGGCCUUCACUGGUCGGUUGGGGGAUCAUGUACUUUACUUUAGAAAAAAUCAGAGUGUUUCAGGCAGGCGUUUGCAUGAAUACACAAGCAUGGAAUAAUGGAAUAGGACUAGGGUCCUAUUUUAUUGGUUAUUGGACCAUAGUAAUGAUUAAUAGGGACAGUUGGGGGCAUUAGUAUUUAAUUGUCAGAGGUGAAAUUCUUGGAUUUAUUAAAGACUAACUUAUGCGAAAGCAUUUGCCAAGGAUGUUUUCAUUAAUCAAGAACGAAAGUUAGGGGAUCAAAGACGAUCAGAUACCGUCCUAGUCUUAACUAUAAACUAUACCGACUAGGGAUUGGUUGGGUUACUAAUGCCCAAUCAGCACCUUAUGAGAAAUCAAAGUCUUUGGGUUCUGGG